rnacentral:rRNA from 1 species
UAGGGAAUAUUGGGCAAUGGAGGAAACUCUGACCCAGCCAUGCCGCGUGCAGGAAGAAGGCCCUCUGGGUUGUAAACUGCUUUUGAUAGGGAAGAAAGAGGUCAUGCGUGACCAGUUGACGGUACCUAUCGAAUAAGCACCGGCUAACUACGUGCCAGCAGCCGCGGUAAUACGUAGGGUGCAAGCGUUGUCCGGAUUUAUUGGGUUUAAAGGGUGCGUAGGCGGUUUAUUAAGUCAGUGGUGAAAGACGAUCGCUCAACGAUUGCAGUGCCAUUGAUACUGGUAAACUUGAGUAGUGCAGAGGUAGCUGGAAUUGAUCGUGUAGCGGUGAAAUGCAUAGAUAUGAUCAAGAACGCCAAUUGCGAAGGCAGGUUACUGGACACUCACUGACGCUGAGGCA